AAUAUGCCGCAAACCAUUUUCGACAUUAAACUUUUAAUGAUAGUACAAUACUAGCGUUACUGACUUUAAAAGGAAGUAGCACGACUAAUUUCUUAUAAUUAUAAAUACAUGGUUUUGUAGACUAUAAAAAACCCUCAGAUUCUUGUAGUCACGCUCAGUCAUAGGCUUCUCCUUGUCUUUUAUUUCCAAUAUGUUUUUUCCUCCUUAGGUCUCAUAUGCAAUCUUGUUUCACUUCAUUUCUUCCCUACCAACUUCAAUUUAAUACUUGAAGCACUGGGUCAGCUUGCAAACUUAAUGCAAAUGUGUCAUUUUAUUAUACAUCUGGAAGAAAAAAAAUGGAGAGCCUCAGAGGUAGGCCCCCGUCUCUCAUUGCUUCGUCUGAACUCGACAUGACAAGGACUCUCUUCUGCCCAGAAAGAAACAGCUUCAUGUCAAGGCAACUUGGAAGUUGGAAGUUGAAGGAAACUGUUAUGUAAAUAAAGAAGACUGAUAAAACAGAAGAAAAUGGGGCAAGUAAAGACACCUUGUUCAGGAAAAAAAAAAUAAGAAGGCAUACAAUAAAAAUUACUUCUUUAAACAAAGA